GACGAACGCUGGCGGCGUGCCUAAUACAUGCAAGUAGAACGCACAGUUUAUACCGUAGCUUGCUACACCAUAGACUGUGAGUUGCGAACGGGUGAGUAACGCGUAGGUAACCUGCCUGGUAGCGGGGGAUAACUAUUGGAAACGAUAGCUAAUACCGCAUAAUAUUAAUUAUUGCAUGAUAAUUAAUUGAAAGGUGCAAUUGCACCACUACCAGAUGGACCUGCGUUGUAUUAGCUAGUAGGUGAGGUAACGGCUCACCUAGGCGACGAUACAUAGCCGACCUGGGAGGGUGAUCGGCCACACUGGGACGGAGACACGGCCCAGACUCCUACGGGAGGCAGCAGUAGGGAAUCUUCGGCAAUGGACGAAAGUCUGACCGAGCAACGCCGCGUGAGUGAAGAAGGGUUUCGGAUCGUAAAGCUCUGUUGUAAGAGAAGAACGGGUGUGAGAGUGGAAAGUUCACACUGUGACGGUAGCUUACCAGAAAGGGACGGCUAACUACGUG
rnacentral:rRNA from 1 species